AGAGUUUGAUCCUGGCUCAGAGUGAACGCUGGCGGCGUGCUUAACACAUGCAAGUCGAACGAGAACAGGAGAGAGCUUGCUUUCUUGCUGCUAAGUGGCGCACGGGUGAGUAAUAUAUAGGUAAUAUGCCUCUUACUAAGGGAUAAUUGAUGGAAACGUCUUGUAAUACCUUAUAUGCCUUUUGAACAUAAGUUCGUAAAGGGAAAGAUUUAUCGGUAAGAGAUUAGCCUGUAUGGUAUCAGUUUGUUGGUGGGGUAAUGGCCUACCAAGACUAUGACACCUAACUGGUUUGAGAGGAUGAUCAGUCACACUGGAACUGAGACACGGUCCAGACUCCUACGGGAGGCAGCAGUGGGGAAUAUUGCACAAUGGACGAAAGUCUGAUGCAGCAACGCCGCGUGGAGGAUGACACAUUUCGGUGCGUAAACUCCUUUUAUAUGAGAAGAUAAUGACGGUAUCAUAUGAAUAAGCACCGGCUAACUCCGUGCCAGCAGCCGCGGUAAUACGGGGGGUGCAAGCGUUACUCGGAAUCACUGGGCGUAAAGAGCAUGUAGGCGGGUAAAUAAGUUGGAAGUGAAAUCCUAUAGCUUAACUAUAGAACUGCUUCCAAAACUGUUUACCUAGAGUAUGGGAGAGGUAGAUGGAAUUUCUGGUGUAGGGGUAAAAUCCGUAGAGAUCAGAAGGAAUACCGAUUGCGAAGGCGAUCUACUGGAACAUUACUGACGCUCAGAUGCGAAAGCGUGGGGAGCAAACAGGAUUAGAUACCCUGGUAGUCCACGCCCUAAACGAUGUACACUAGUUGUUGCUAUACUAGAUAUGGCAGUAAUGCAGUUAACACUUUAAGUGUACCGCCUGGGGAGUACGGUCGCAAGAUUAAAACUCAAAGGAAUAGACGGGGACCCGCACAAGCGGUGGAGCAUGUGGUUUAAUUCGACGAUACGCGAAAAACCUUACCUGGCCUUGACAUAGUAGGAACUUUCUAGAGAUAGAUUGGUGCUAGCUUGCUAGAACCUAUAUACAGGUGCUGCACGGCUGUCGUCAGCUCGUGUCGUGAGAUGUUGGGUUAAGUCCCGCAACGAGCGCAACCCACGUGAUUAGUUGCUAACGGUUCGGCCGAGAACUCUAAUCAGACUGCCUUCGUAAGGAGGAGGAAGGUGUGGACGACGUCAAGUCAUCAUGGCCCUUACGGCCAGGGCUACACACGUGCUACAAUGGGAUAUACAAAGAGCCGCAAUACCGCGAGGUGGAGCAAAUCUAGAAAAUAUCUCUCAGUUCGGAUUGUUCUCUGUAACUCGAGAACAUGAAGUUGGAAUCGCUAGUAAUCGCGGAUCAGCAUGUCGCGGUGAAUACGUUCCCGGGUCUUGUACACACCGCCCGUCACACCAUGGGAGUGGAAUCUGCCAGAAGUAGGUAGCCUAACCGCAAGGAGGGCGCUUACCACGGUGGGUUUCAUGACUGGGGUGAAGUCGUAACAAGGUAACC
rnacentral:rRNA from 1 species